CGGGAGGCAGCAGUGGGGAAUAUUGGACAAUGGGCGCAAGCCUGAUCCAGCCAUACCGCGUGUGUGAAGAAGGCCUUCGGGUUGUAAAGCACUUUAAGCAGGGAGAAAAAGUUAUAAGCUAAUACCUUAUAACCUUGAUGUUACCUGCAGAAUAAGCACCGGCUAAUUCCGUGCCAGCAGCCGCGGUAAUACGGAAGGUGCAAGCGUUAAUCGGAAUUACUGGGCGUAAAGCGCGCGUAGGUGGUUUGUUAAGUUGGAUGUGAAAGCCCUGGGCUCAACCUAGGAACUGCAUCCAAAACUAACUCACUAGAGUACGAUAGAGGGAGGUAGAAUUCAUAGUGUAGCGGUGGAAUGCGUAGAUAUUAUGAAGAAUACCAGUGGCGAAGGCGGCCUCCUGGAUCUGUACUGACACUGAGGUGCGAAAGCGUGGGUAGCGAACAGGAUUAGAUACCCUGGUAGUCCACGCCGUAAACGAUGACAACUAGCUGUUAGGAGACUAUGUCUUUUAGUGGCGCAGCUAACGUUUUAAGUUGUCCGCCUGGGGAGUACGGCCGCAAGGCUAAAACUCAAAUGAAUUGACGGGGACCCGCACAAGCAGUGGAUCAUGUGGUUUAAUUCGAUGCAACGCGAAAAACCUUACCUACUCUUGACAUACUUGGAAGCUCUUGUAAUGAGAGUGUGCUUUUAAGAACCAAGAUACAGGUGCUGCAUGGCUGUCGUCAGCUCGUGUCGUGAGAUGUUCCGUUAAGUCGGAUAACGAGCGCAACCCUUACCCUUAUUUGCCAGCGAUUCGGUCGGGAACUAUAAGGGGACUGCCGGUGAUAAACCGGAGGAAGGUGAGGACGACGUCAAGUCAUCAUGGCCCUUACGAGUAGGGCUACACACGUGAUACAAUGGGAGAGACAGACGGACGCUAAGCCGCGAGGUGGUGCUAAUCCUAGAAACUCUCUCGUAGUCCGGAUUGGAGUCUGCAACUCGACUCCAUGAAGUUGGAAUUGCUAGUAAUCGCGGAUCAGCAUGCCGCGGUGAAUACGUUCUCGGGUCUUGUACACACCGCCCGUCACACCAUGGAAGUGGAU
rnacentral:rRNA from 1 species